GGUAAUGCACGUUACGUUCCUUCCUUGUCGGUGGACCUGGUCAGGUGACGCAUACCGGCCUUUUUAAAGGGAAGCGGCGCUGUCACGCUCAAGGUUCUGUGCGCGUUCACGGUUCACCUGUCUGCAGAGAUUUUUCAGAUUUUAUUCUUGCACUAUCAUUCAUGUGCCUGCAUCAUGUGUCAGAAGGCCCAGGGGAAAGGCAUCUUGCUUGUGGAAAACUGGAGUUAAUGCAGGUGACCGAGGUGGUCCCAGUGAUUAUAAACAGAGUGUGCAGCCACAAAUGAGACAUCACACACUGUCUGUCAAAUGCAGAACUUUGUGACUUUUGUAAUAAAUGCUUUAAUGUGAUAUUAUGUCAGUUAAGUAAAGCCUUACAUCAAAUGCCAAAUUUAAUUGGUACAACACAAGAUUUACAGCCUUUCAUAUAAAUGUUAUGGUCUUCUUCUAGAUUUAUGAUAUAAAAUAUAUUUUUUUCUGUCAUCAGAACUUAUGACAGUGUCUGCUUGCUGUUAAAGAGAAUUCCAGAUCAUGAAUGAGAAUUGUGUGAUACCAGAUGUAUAAAAAUAUUUAGAAUGAAA